UACGUAGGCAGCGAGCGUUGUUCGGAGUUACUGGGCGUAAAGGGUGUGUAGGCGGUUGUUUAAGUUUGGUGUGAAAUCUCCCGCUCAACCGGGAGGGUGCGCCGAAUACUGAAUGACUUCGAGUGCGGGAGAGGAGAGUGGAAUUCCUGGUGUAGCGGUGAAAUGCGUAGAUAUCAGGAGGAACACCGGUGGUGUAGACGGCUCUCUGGACCGUAACUGACGCUGAGACACGAAAGCGUGGGUAGCAAACAGG
rnacentral:rRNA from 1 species